AGAAGGCCGAGCACAGCAGGCCGAGCACAGAAGGCUAAGACCAGCAGGACGAGACCAGAAGGCUGAGCUGACCUCAGAAGGCCGACCUCGUCGUCUAUAUGCUGCGGCCAUGCUCUGCAGCAGCCUUACCGCACCAUGUUUUACUUGCCGGCCACGCCACGACAUAUUAAUCAGGAACCAUACUCUGCUACGACUGUCAACGCCUCAUCAUUCCCAAGAAUGUACUGCACUGCGCGCCUCAAGCAAGCUCUGGCUGCACGCCAUCUCCUCCCAUGAUGGGAACGGGCCAUCCACGGCAACUCAUUACUUCCACGCCCACAUCCAAUCGUGACGGUAACCCAUUAAUUCGCCCAGUCAUAUCACAGUUCUCCACGGCAAAUCAGCACGGCAGUGUUCAAUCAACCGGGACAAUUCUCUGACUCCGACGUGGUCUCCCACUACAGCAUUAAUUCGCCUGAUCGUGCGGCAUGCUCAAACUGUACGACGACCUCGCUCCAUCAUCUCACAGGUAAUCCAGCACCUCUCUAUAAAAGGAGAACCACUCCAUUUUAGAGGGGGGGGCUGGCUGGUAGGCAGACAAAAAGACUCUGAUUCAUACUAUUUCCUCCAAGAACACAUUGGCCCCCUCUGACUUAG
rnacentral:lncRNA from 1 species